rnacentral:lncRNA from 1 species
UCCAAAGAGGGUCAUAAAAGACCCCAGCUCUCCCUCUUAUCCACCUUUGUCCCUAAACUUUCCUAGAGUGCUUGUAGAAGAACCUUCCUUCUCCUUUAGAUUGCCCUUUCAGAAAGUAAUCCACCUUUGACUUAAAAACAAUUACGUUUAGGGGUAUGUCUGUUGUAGGUAUGUGCAAUGGAGUGCAGGGACCUGCACAGACCAAAGGCACUGGCUCCGGAGGAAGCUAGAGUUUUAGGCCAUUGGGAGCUGCCCGAUGUAUGUGAUGAGCACUGAACUCAGGCUCUCUGGAGGGAGUGCAUGCUAUUCUUAAACACCAAGCCACCUCUCUAGCCCCUCCACACAACUGUCUUGUAAACAGAUGGAAGAUUCUGGAAAUGAAUUUACAUAUAUAUAUUUAUUUUGAGAAAACUAUCACUCCUGCCUUAAAGCAAACCUCCUUGGUAAUUGGGGCUACCUUGACACUACUCCUUACAGACCCUCAUCCUUACUUCUGGCGACUGAGCCUACAUACGCAUCUAGACAAGUGCUCUACCACCGACAUACAUACUCAGGCCAACGGCUUUAUUUCUAAAGCUGAGAGAAGAUGCCUUCUUUGGUGCAGAUACUCUAGAGGAAUUCAAUCAGUCCAGCCCUGACUGGGGUGUGAAGGAGCAGCUUCGGUCCUCCAAAAGCUCCAGAGAGUUGGUACCAGUAACCCACGGGUCUCCCAAACAUAUGGGUGAGUCAUGACUUGUUGGCGACACCACUCACCUCUGUUUUGCCAGAACAAAGCCAACACCAUUCUCUAUAUAUCGUUUUCUCUUGGUUGCGGCCACCUCCACCAUAUAGGCCCUAAGAUGGAAGGAGAUGGAGAAGCUUAGCUUGUCUCAAUACACAGAUGUCUUGUGGAUUCAUCAGUUAGAAAACAGAACAGCAGAAAAUUAUCUUCCAGUUUCCAAGCCAAGCAACGUCCUGGGCCUCCAAAGAAAGCCCUGGGAACAGCCCUGGUGAACAAGCGCCUUGACCAAAGUGGAGAAGCUGGCAGACCUGGAAGCGGGGAAUGUGAAUACCUCUCUGUCUCGGUUUUCCCAGGGCUGCUCUAGAUGGGAAGAUGGUGAAAUGCAUAAGACAGCUCCAGAUGGUGGAGACUGGCUGGGCAGGUGGAGCUUGAGGUGAGCCAGAGACAGAAAUGGGUCCCACAUAAGUGGGCUGAGAUCAUGUUCUCCCAUGGCAACACUAGCUCUGGUGGGAACAGGGAUGAUUCUAAGGAACCUAAAGGGGGAUGCUGCGAUGGCCCUGCAUGCCUGACCUGCGCAGAGCUGAGGAACUCACCUGAGAAGGGGAGAAAUCUACCCAAGGAAGACCGGGCAAGGGCAAGAAAGUCAAGCAAGCUUGUCUCCCACUCCCCACUCCCAGUAUAACUGGCAUUUAUCAUACAAGUCGACAGCUAAGGGGCAGCACUUUUCUUUUCUUUUCUUUUCUUUUCUUUUCUUUCCUUUCCUUUUUCUUUUCCUCUUCUUUCUUUCUUUCUCUCUUUCUUUCUUUCUUUCUUUCUUUCUUUCUUUCUUUCUUUCUUUCUUUCUUUCUUUCUUUCUCAAUAGUAA